CCAUAAAAGCCAAAGUUCUAAACAGCUUAAUUGGGUUAUAUUAUACACCUUCUGGUGGGCCCAAAAGAGAUUUCCGCAAUGUGCAAUAAACUGGAGAAGUGAGAAAAGCUUCUCUUUCUCUGAAAAGAGUGAACUGAAUCUUAUGACUCUUAACCUCUCAUAAGCCCAAACUCAAAAUAUAAAUCCAUAAGAUGCACAGCACCUCAUGCAUCUUCUGAGGCAGUAUGCAUUUUACAUGCAGCAAUAUUUAAUUGCUAAGGCUCUUGGGGGAAAAGGAAAAACAUAAGUGCAUAAGUGUAUGCCUUUGAACUUCCAAAAUGUCAAGGUCAUCACCUUUAACCUCUCUGAAUAAUUAGGCGCCUUAAGGUUCUUCUGUGAUUUUCAACUGCCACCCACUCUCAUACAUACAUGCUCACACAUACAGACCCAUGCACACAUUUAUGACCACACAGAAUCCUACUGGGUGCUCCCCAUAAAUCUAAGAAAAUUUCUAAUUUCAGGAUCAAUAACCUUAAUUUCCCUUCAAAUAUUUGAGCAAUUCAGUAGCAAUUGACUUCUUUUUUGAAAAUACUGGUUAGACUAAAAUGCUUAUUAGCUUUCACUACAACUGGGAUGUGCUGGAGAUGUGUGUGGGGGGGGGUCU
rnacentral:lncRNA from 1 species